CACAUUGAAAUAUUAUUGCCUCUGGCUUUAACACAUUGUAAUAUUUAAACAAACAUACAAAAAAUGAGCAACCUUUGCUAUUAUUUUGUGGUUGAUAUUUGCAUUGUUAGUUUGUACUGUAAUUAUUGCUCAAAUUGUUUUAGUUCUUCUGAAGUAUAAUAUAUUGAAUGCAUGAUGAAAGGUUAAUAAAUCAAGCUGACUGAGCAUGUUUGAGAUUUCACUGCCAAAUGUGACUGCAUUCAACGUUUGUCAUAACUGCAGUUAAAAGUUGAUUAACCAGAAUGCACAGGGAGCCAACUCUUGUCUCACUGAGUAAUCCUCCACUACAGAUUAGUCUCAGUUAAUAAAAAUGUUCACAUUAAGAUAAACAACAUCCUGUUGUUUUUUUGUUUUUUUUCUUGGGGCAAAUCUUAAGGCAACAUGCCAUUUUAUCAUUUUGCAUUAUAGGAAUGUUACUUUUAAAUGUUCUGAGAACAUUCUGAAGUGGUCACAUUUAAACAUUUUUAGAUGUGUGACCUAAAACAUUUGAGGAAAAAAACUUCACUGAGCAAUAUAUAAAUAAUGCAUUUGUUCUAAUGUUUUGAGAACAUCAUUCAAAGCCAAAUAGCUCUGAACAAAUAUUAUAUUACGUUACUAGGGCUAUGUUUGUUCAUAAUUGCCUAAGAAAAUUGCCAGAACGGUAGCCACAUUUUUGAGAAGUCAAUAACCAAGGCCUACUGAGCAAACAUCAUAUAACUUAAGAAUUUUUUCAAGCAAGACAGUUAUUUUUAGGUAUGUGCUUUUUAUUCAUUUGUGCUCAUAACACUUUAUAAUAACAGUAACAAACAUAUAAUGAUAGACAGAUGACAGAUUAUUACUUAAAAUACAUUCAAAUGUCUGUUAUGAAUGUUUGAUUCAUUUCAAAUAUUCGUAUUUGAAUUUUCAGAACUGAUCUGUUAAACAGUCUUUUAUCAAGUUGUCUAGGAAAGUGUGUAAUAUGUUUCACCAUGUAUCAAAUAACUUAUGUUUCUUUCAUUUUUUUUUCAUUCUUUCAUUCCAUUUUUAUUGCCUGUUCAUGCAUAUGUUGUUUUGUGAUUUAAUAUUCUGAAACCUUAACUGUCCUUAACAUUUUUAUUUGUAUGUGUGUGUGUGUGGGGGAACAUUGUAAUUUAUACUAAUUUGAGUAGGAUAGUUUACCGGAAGCAUUUAAUUGAAACGGUCAAAAUACAUAAACAUUUUUUUUUUAAUCUACAUUUUUAGGUAAUACCACAUACAAGAAUUUAAUUUAAUUCUAAAAGACAAUAAAUGUGUCGUGCAAAAUUUCCUAUGAUUGUUUUUAGAAUGAAGGUCUUAAUAGUUUAUAUUCAGGAUUUACUUUUAUACUGACUUACCAUAAAAAAAAUUAGAGAUGAAACCAGGGCUCGCCGGCCAGAGAUCUAAUGCAUAUUUUUGUUUCAACAUCUUUUGUUUUAUUUGUGCAUUGAAAUGUAAAAAAAAAAAAAAAAGGUUAAGAAAUUUGGUUAUUUAAUCAUUAAAAAAUGUAAUCCAUUUGAAUACAGUAUAGCACAGGGAGCUACCAGGGUUAUGCAGUACUAUAUGUCAGUCCAAACUGUUAUGCACGGUAUUGUUAAAAUGUGCUGGAAAUAUAAAAGAAAUUACAGAUACACACACUGAAAUCAUUUUAUCAAGUUUUAUGACAAAAGCCAACAAAAAUUGGCCACACUAUGCACUUUUUGUUUGCAUAAACACUGAAAUAAAAACAUUAAAAAACUAUUUUAAACUAACAAAAACUAUUCAUAACAUAUCUGCUGACGUGUAGUCUACUAAGUUCAAAUAAAGUUUUGACCAAUUAAAAAAAAACAAAUUAUAACAUUACAGCCUUUAAUUUAAUCUGCUCAUUAAACAGUUCUACAUACAGUAAGCUUAAGUGCAUUCUAUAAAUCUCAACACUUCGGAUAACAAUCAUCCUUUUCUGAAGUAAUUCAGUCAUACAUUAGAUUCUUUCAUAUGAUUGCCCUCAGCAGUCUGCCUUCAGUCAUGUUUUCACACAAAACGAAACUAUAGGCUAGCCUACUCUGUUUGUUGUAUCUGCGUGAGACUCUUAACUUUGAUUAAAGCUGAGCAUUAUUUACUUUUGAGUUUUUCAAAUCGCUAUAAUCAAAUUCAGGUCUAAAUUAUUUAAAAUAAUGAUAAUUAAAAUAUGAAACUGGAUAAUUAAAAAAGUAAACUCCGGUUUAUUUUCUCAACAGUCGUCAGCGCUGAAAAUCAAGUCACUUUUUUUUUUUUUUUUUUUGGAGGUACCAGAGCUCAGAUGCAUCUGAAAACUUAGGCAGGUGACUUGCUGCCUCGCUGACGUAUUUUGCAGCAGAGUAAUGGUUUAAUGAUCUACAGCAUAUGUGUAAUGGUUUAAUGAUCUACAGCAUAAUGUUGCUGCAUAAUGCAACAUUAACAUUUGGCCCAUGGCCCUCAGUCAGGUCAGUUAAGUUAAGUUUGGUCACCCGAGCAUUGAAUGGUCAGUAUAGCUUAAUAUUGAAAGUGAAAGUGACAUACAGUCAAGUCUGGUGACCCAUACUCAGAAAUUAACCCAUCCAAAGUGCACACACACACACACACACACAGCAGUGAACACACACACCUGGAGCUGUGGGCAGCCAUUUAUGCUUCAGCGCCCAGGGAGCAGUUGGGGGUUCAGUGCCUUUCUCAAGCACACCGAAGACAUGGUAAGGCCUACUGCCGGCGACUCGAACCCACAACCCUAGGGUUAGGAAUCAAACUCUCUAAUCACUAGGCCAUGACUUCCCCAGGUAUUAAACAAAAACGAUCAAAUUAAUCCGAUUUCCAAACGUUUAUCCCCUUCGGGCCUAAUCUAAGAAUCUGUCUGCAUUUCCAGGCAAGAAUCCGAUUAAGAUGAUAAACAAAACAAACAAAAAAAACCUGCACUUGACACUAAUUGCGAUAAGAUUCGAUGGAACUCGAAGGUGCAGGAAUCAUUGCAUAAUUUAAAGAAACACAUUUUUGGAAACCCCUUACAUGAACCUAACAAAGAAACCAACUUUGAUACUUCGUUGACACAGACACACUGUAGAUAAUUACUCGUAUACAGUCAUUCUCAAACGAUAUAAUGCGAUCAAAACAGACUGACUCUACACUCUUAAAAAAAUGCCAUAGAAGACCCUAUUUGUCUUAAUGGUUCCAUAAAGAAACUUAACAUCUGAACAUUUCUGUUCCACAAAAAUUCUUUAUAGAUGGCUCUUUAAAGGACAUUUGACUAGAUUUCCUGAAGAACCUUUUGAAGCAACUUAAUUUUUAAGAGUGUAGCUGUCACCAGCCGUCAUGUGGAAACCGGGAAGGCCCCUCCUUUCGGUAACUUGUCCUCUCCGCUCGACUCGGCCUCACACGGAGCAUGGCUCGAAGCGGUAUAGCCAAAGUCAUGCAGAGGCAAACCGAAAGCGAUGAGAUCCAGCUGUGACGUUAAAUUCCUAUGGAUUAUAAGCGUCUCAAUGGCAUAAAGACAAAGAAAGCGUCAAGAGUUAAUAAAACAACUGGCAGCCUGACUUGAUUCGCGGGGAAAAUCAAUAGGAAAACAUGAAUUUCCAUUUGUCCAUCUUCUGGCGAGUUUGCAGUGACGGCUUCGGUCUGCAUGUGAAUAUGCCUCAAAAAUGACCAAUGCAUCGUCUUGGCACUUCUGUUUUGAUGCUUAUUAUACUACCUCUUGCCUUUUCCUGUGAAAGUGGUCACAAUAAUAACCAGAUCACCGAGGAUUACCGCAAUAUCAUUAGCAGACAACUGAAUCACGUUGAGGCUAUUAUUGAACAACUCUGUUCAAACUGCACAGUAAGAAAUGUCAGCAUGUCGAAGGAGCUAAAAAAUACACAGUCCAUCCACAGAAAAAUCUGCAAGGUUAACGGAAAACUGAGAAGAACCGAGUCGUCUUCAGAGAACUUAAAUCUGAAAGAUGCGUUACAUAACCUUGUGGGAGAAAUAAAUACGUCCUUGAGAUGUUGGUGCCAUGAAAAGAGAGAGGGGAAAAAUAAGCCAAUACAGCAAACACGAAACUGGAAGCUAUGCAAAGUGAAAGACAUUCUCGCCAACUUACAGAGACACUUCGAACAAUACAAUGCAUAUCUGUCAUUCGGCACAGACCUUCGAGAGCGUGGGAAGACUUCAGAGCAAACCGGUAUAUAAUACUUGAGCUCCAUCCAUCCUGUAGCUCUAUUACAACAAAUGAUUGUACAAAAUAUGAAGAAGAAACUGGACGCACCAUGUGCCAUUCACACUAUUCAGUAUUUCACUGAAGAAAAACUUUUUGUGGGAAAAUAUGUGCGAACUAUACACAUACUACUUGUGCAUGAAAUGUUUCAAAAUUUUGUACUUCGGAUUGUUAUCUUUGAGUACGGAGGGAUCAGCAAAAUGGAACUCACAAAUUAGAAACUUGGUUUCAAAGCCUAUAUUAUUUUUUAUUAUUAUUUUUUAAGGCCUCAAGAUACAACUUUGUUGUUUCACAUGCUUCAUAUUUGGGAAGUGACCCUAUCAAAGUCUUACGAGUUUAAAGGCUUACAGUAAAUCCAAAGAUUACGCUCAUUGUGUUUUUCUAACUUCUUUCUGUGUAUUUAGUUGAUGAUUUUAAUAUGAGGUUAUUUCUUAGUUUCUUAAAAAAGUUUUUUUAGUUCAUAAUUCUUAAACCUUGACUUAAGGUGCUACUGAAAUGGUUCUAUUUAACAUGGUUGAUAAUUUGUGCCGUUCUACAUCUACAUUCUACAUCUGCAUAUAUCUUUGUGAGCAACACAUGCCAAAAAAAUCCUUGCCUAUACAUACAUGCAUAUAUAAAAUCAACAGGUGGGCUUAUAUGGUACAUUAACUUUUUUUAGGGUCACUAACCCUGUAUAAAGAACUGUUAACUUUUCACAUAUUCAAUUUACAUGUUUUUUUAUAUAACAGUACAUCACUGUUUGUUUUUGUUUUCCAGAACAUUUGACAUUAAUGGAGAUUUUUAUAAAUAUUGUAUUGCUAUGUUCUAACAUAAAAUUUCCACUUUAAAGGGUUACUCCACCCCAAAACGAAAAAUUAGUCAUUAAUCGCUUACCCCUGUGUCGUUCUAUACCCAUAAAAGCUCAGUUCGUCUUUGGAACAUGAUUUAAGAUAUUUUGGAUGAAAACCUGGAGGCUUGUGAGUGUGACUGUCCCAUAGGAAAUAACAGUUUCAAUGUCCAGGAAAGUACGAUAAGUCUUUGUCAGAAUACUCCACUUGCCAUCAGAUGUGCAAUCUAUCAUUUUUGUUUUCUUCACUUACAAAAAGUGAUCCCAUCACUUCAUGUAACUCACGUCUGAUGGCAGAUGGAGUAUUCUAACAAUAACCUUUCAUACCUUUUCUGAACCUUGACACUGUUAUUUACUUGGCAGUCUAUGGGACAGUCUCAAGCCUCCAGGUUUUCAUCCAAGAUAUCUUAAAUUGUGUUCCGAAGACAAACUGAGCUUUUAUGGUUAUGGAACGACAUGUGGGUAAGGGAUUAAUGAACACAUUUUCAAUUUAGGGUGGAGUAUCCCUAUUAUUUCCCAUUUUAUAUGCAACUUAAUGCUAGUAGCUGCACAAGGAAAAAUGGGUUCAUGAAGAGAAACUGAAAUAUGGAACGGAACCAUGUACCGUAUUUUUCGGGCUAUAAGUCGCACCUGAGUAUAAGUCGCAUCAGUCCAAAAAUACGUCAUGAUGAGGAAAAAAAAACUUUUAUAAGUCGCACCGUACUAUAAGUUGCAUUUAUUUAGACCCAAGAACCAAGAUAAAACAUUACCGUCUACAGCCGCGAGAGGGCGCUAUAUGCAUAGACGGUAAUGUUUCCUCUUAGUUCAUUUCUCUUGGUUCAUGUCAAAUUCAUUUUGAUAAAUAAGUCGCACCUGACUAUAAGUCGCAGGACCAGCCAAACUAUGAAAAAAGUGCGACUUAUAGUCCGGAAAAUACGGUAUAUAAAAAAAAAGAAAGAGGAAAAUACCCUAAAUAAAAAUAAAUAAUAACACUAUUGCGAGUUAAUCACUUUAUAGGCAUUUUAAAAACACUGGGUCAGUGAUUAAAGGCAUAUAUUUUUGAAUAAAUAGAUAACUGUAUUAAAUGUGUUAAAUUGGCAGCACUAAAUAAACAAAUUAAAUGAACACAUCAAGCAGAACACAGUCUGAUUUAUGUUUCCACUUUAUUUAUGUAAGAUAAGUUCAAUCCAUUUUAACCAUUUUAUCCUUUAACGGCAAAAUUUGUCACAAUCCCAAAAACAGGUAUUCAUAAGCUAUAUUUACUGCCGCAGAAGCAGUAAUACAAGCAUAACAAGGUGCAGAGUGAUGCUUGAAAUACAUAUGAGCUUGAGAUCGGCAAACGACCACCAACUCCUCGACCUCUCUCAUUCUGGACCAGCAAUGAUAAAGCUUAAAGGCUUGGAAGCAAUAAAAUACCAUUGUAAAGCUACUUUUUCGGAAGGUUGUAAUGUGGUGGAUGCUCUUGAAGAAUGUGACAUGACAUUGCAGUCGCCUUUAAGUUUUGUAUGUUGUGUUGAUGUGUAAAUAUGUUGGACAGACUAGAUCAACGAACGUUGAACAGAUGUGAUGGAUUGUAUGUCUAAUAAAUAUACGACGACGA